AUAAUAAUAAUAAUAGACUUGAAAAAAAUGGAAUAAUAAAGAAAAGAUUAGGAUGGCCCCUAUGUAAGAAUGACACACAAGUUCAUGAAACAUGCAUACUUGCA
rnacentral:snRNA from 1 species